GGAGUCGGACGGGUUGUCGCCGCGAGGGAUUCCUUCGGGAACACCUCGGGGAGGAAAGUCCGGGCUCCACAGGGCAGAACGCUGGGUAACCCCCAGAGGGAGCGAUCCCUGGACAGCGCCACAGAAAGCAAACCGCCCGCCAUGUGCGGGUAAGGGUGAAACGGUGGGGUAAGAGCCCACCAGACGUCGCGGUGACGCGGCGUGCUCGGUAAGCCCCGUUCGGAGCAAGACCAAAUAGGGGGACGCUUGAGGCUGGCCCGGCCGAAGUCCCCGGGUAGGUUGCUUGAGGCGCGUCGUGAGGCGCGUCCUAGAGGAAUGACGACCACCCCCGCCUCCUUCGGGAAGGCGAGGGAACAGAACCCGGCUUACAGGCCGGCUCCCCUU
rnacentral:RNase_P_RNA from 2 species